CCCAGCCUAUAAAAGCGUGCGCGCACUGUUCAGAAGUCUCUUCGGCUGCGGUCCGGUUGUAAGCUUGUAGGGGAAUAGUUUUGUGGGCACUAUUUUUGAAUGGCCAAGAUGCGGGAGACACAAGGCCAUUAUGGUGCUGGCCGCAAGCCGUCUACUCUGCAAGAGUGUGGUGAAGGCUAGCACGCCGGCCACCAUCAUGUAAAGCCCAUACGGUGUUAGACGACGCCACCACCCCUAGUUCGCCACCGCUGGGUCAGAUGGUGACACCUGAACUCGUUGCUGUUGAGGAGUGGAACACGUGUUAAGGUACUGUAAUAGUCGAGAUCCGGUCACCUUACAGGGGGUCUUCUAAUCUAAGUUUUGACAAUGAGUAUUUUGUAUCAAAUAAAGGAUUGUUUUGUGUGUAAUGA